ACUCUAUUCUAGAAUAUUCCUAUAAGAGAGGAUAAAGAAGACAAGACGACAAGGAUGCAGGCAGUCGCCCAGUAGUGCACUCGUUCCGUUGGUUUCAAAAUGAAAAAUUUGUGACCUAAGAAUGAGGUUAUUUAUUGUUUUGAUAGCAUUUGUUUUACCGGUAUCACAGCUUAUGGCAUUAAGUUGCAGACACCACGAAUUUAUAAUAAAAAGGAAGUCUGGUAAAAUUGAGUGCGAAAAAUGUGAACUGUGUCCUGCUGGGGAGGAGCCCGUUCCCGCUUGUGAGAGAAAAAUAUUGAAUAUUGAAGGAGAAUUCACAAAAGGAUGUCGAAUUUGUUCAAAAGGAAUGUAUAAAGACAGCCCAGAUGGUGAGCCUUCUACAAAAAAGUGUAGAAAUUGUAACAUUAUUGACUGCCGUGAGGGCUUCCGUGAAAUAGAGACGUGUAAUGUCUAUAAGGGCAAAAUCUGCUCUGAGGAUGAUUGUGAUUUGGAACAUUACAAACAGAACGAUGUUUGCAAAAAGUGUUGCCAAUGUGAAGGUUCGUUGAAAGUUGAGCCGAAAUGCAAACAUACAGCCAAGCGUUGCUCCUCAGAUGAAUUUAAUAAAUGUGCAGACCUUCCAAGGACAACUACCAUGGCAUCAACAACAUUGAAAAGUACAACCCAAAGGACCACAAAAGGACGUAUGACCCCAGGACGUACGACACCAGCAACUUCAACCGAGACUAAAAUCCCAGGAACCUCAGCAAAAACCAAGCCUGACACCACCAAUGUGAUGACAACUCGCUCAUCAACAGCUGAUAGUCUUUCCAUCACAACACCAAAACGCAUAGCAUCGACAUUGCUUUUAAAAACUACUCCAUACACUCAAAUAAUCAGGCUUUCAACUGCGUUCAGGACAAGAAAAACGACCAAAAAAAUUAGAACAGGCACUAUAAUUAUUUUUCCAAGCACUAGUGUUGUCGCGAAAGACACAUCAACAUCCAAAAUAGGACCUGUUUCUAAGAUGUCUCGUGAUGCAGAGAAUUCUCGCAAUGUCUCUCUCACAACUGUUGUUCCAGCUGUGCUAGCUGUUAUUGUAAUAAUUGUUAUACUUAUCUGCUUAUGGUGUUCCCGAAAGAAAGAUCUAAGCCAAUGUUUUUUAGGUUGGAGAGGAGGCGAUAUUGAAUCGGGUCGAAGGAGAGACAGAGAUGGUCUAUCUGAAGAUGGUAUACCUUUGAACCAACACAACACUAAUGGUAGAUCGUUUUCAGGAGAAGGUUCAGGAACUGCCUCUCCAGCAGAAGAUCAAAAACUUUUGGUCAACAUUCCACCACCAGAAGGAGGCGCUUGGAACAAACCUCCUAGCGUAAGUGAUCAUGUUGAUAGAAAAGAAAACGAUCAAGAAUCCGCCUCUCCAGCAGAAGAACAAAAACUUUUGGUCGACAUUCCACCAGAGGAAGGUAAUAUUUCCAGCGCUUGGAACAAACCUCCUAGCGUAAGUGAUCAUGUUGAUAGAAAAGAAAACGAUCAAGAAUCCGCCUCUCCAGCAGAAGAACAAAAACUUUUGGUCGACAUUCCACCAGAGGAAGGUAAUAUUUCCAACUCCCUGAAGCGAUCUAAUAGCGUGAUGAAGAAAACAGAGGAUGAAACACUGACCCAAAAGAUAGAGGUGACAGCAAAGAAUCUUUUGAAACUGAAACUGUGCUGUGAAUGUGGUGCAAAAGCUGAUCAAUCUAUAGAUGAUGAAAAUAGAAAUAUUGGUGCACAAAUACAGCAGCUUAAGUUAUACAAAAAAGAUCUCGUGCAAAUAUACCGUUACAUAACACGCGAUCUUAGCGAAAUUGAAAUUCAUGAUGGCUGGGCCUUAACUCGGGGCAUUGUGGCACGUGAGCCGAACGCAUCUUGCGCGCAACUUUUAGGAGCAUUACAAAUAAUGGGAAGAAAAGGAGAUCUCACAAGGUACCAUGAAGAGUUUCACAGUAUAUAAACUGAAGUACGUGUAAACAUUUUAAUGUAAUUUAAUGCAUUAAAAAGUCACUUUACGUUCGUAAUAUCGUCCCCUUUCUAGCCAUUUUCAGAUCGUAGUCCCGAAAUCCGAACGUUACUUUCAAAACUUUCGACAGCAAUUUUCUUGUGUCGGGAAUAAACGCUCCCUUCGUUUAUUUGUUUCAAGAUUUUUGACGAUAUCAGCAUUUCAUUUCAACCACUUGUUUCAUCGACAAAAAGAUUGAUUAGAAAUUUGUAGGUUACGGUAAACGUUUUCUGGAUGAAAACAUCCAUUUUUGAUUAUUUCACAUUCAAGUAGCCGAACUUUCAAGGAACACAAUGAUACCAAAUUUGAAACUAACAGAAAUUUUGAAAAUGGAAGAAAUCCCAUGUAAACGAAGGUUUCCAGAAUUUCUUUAUCAAAACUUUUAGUUGAGGUCUAAAAAUCUCUUGACCUGUAAAGCCGAUUAUCGUUGCUUUGCGGUUGUGGUCCCAUGUCUCAUUUACAAUAUCGCCGGCACAUCCAUGUAUCCCAUGCACGGCUGUGUUACAUGGUAGCUUAGGAUCUGCGCUUUCUGCUGAUACAAGUCAGAUUUUGAUACCUCAAACGCAAGGGUACAAAAUAGCUUUUGAAGGUGGUACACUCAUUUGAGCAAUAAAGUUGCCUGAAAAAUAUCAUUUUACAAUAUUUACCAAUUAUUUUGAUAUGGUUGGAAUCGCCACGUUCUUGUGCAUCGAAUGUUGUAUAGUUCUAUAUGAUUCCGUUGAUACCUUUACUUUUAGGGAGAGAAAACCAAAUAUCGUGUCAAAAACGUUUAUCGUAACUUUAAAUUCAAAAUGUUUUUGCGACCACUUUUAGCAAUGCUCUAUCUUCAUUAAUUGUUUUUCAAAAUUGAACCUCUCUCCGUCCCCCCAAAUAUUCAAUUUUGGAUUUGGCCAUGGCCUCCGAUUCUUUAAACCCCAUCUUUUAUUCUUGAUCCCAGAGUUAUCCAUUAUGAAAAUUCCUCAUCGGACAUUAUUACGUUGGGUUUCCUGACACUCUUACAUGUCUUCUAUAUUUAGGAUUGCCCAUAUUGUCUAAAUUUCACUUAAUUAAUUUCCAUAGCCUUUUAAAGGGGAAAUUAGCUGCGGGGACAAGUCUUUCCUUAUAUAAAGAGGAGGACAAUGAUCUAUUGUUUAAAACAAUGGAAAGUCACAAAGGCUGGAUGUCCCCCCUAGUUAGUAUGUUAAAGAUAGCCAUUUUAACUUCAUUCACUUUCUACGCAUUUUGUACGUUUUUAUGAGUUUUGUAAACGGAACAUCAUUUUACAUAUAUCAGGCCUGAUGUGAAUUUUAUACUAAUUUUGUUUUACUAGUAGUAGUAAGAUAGGGUUAGAAUAGUGUCUUUUUCGGCAAAGUUUGUUAAGAAAAUAUUGAUAAGGGUACCACAACCGAUAUUUAGAUCUUUUUGUUAUCUUAAAUUUCACUUUAAUUACGGUUAUCAUAAGUGAUAAAAAUUCGUGUUCCCAAAAGUUGUUCGCCCAAACCCACUCCCCUCCCCCGGUAAAACUGAAAUUAAGCAUUGAGCUUGGUUCUUUUGAACAUAAAAACCUCGAAUAUUCCCUAAAGACGUUAAAAGCAUGAAGUGCUUCCUCGUCAAUUGCGGUCUGUGCAAACUCUAAGCGAGGUUUGCUAUUCUGCAGCACACGCUGUUUCGAAACCAGAUUUACUAGGCUGGCAAGUUCCCAUUUUCCAGAAUAUCUUACGAUUCACCGGAAGAAUCUCCUUGUACUGUUGGUUACUUUUGCCGUUAACUUAAUUGAAAGAAAGUUGGUAAAGAAUCAGAAUUUCAAGUUACAUGGAGUUCAUGAUUGUAAAAUGCGAUCUCUCGAUUUUCACCACAGCACCUUCUGCAGGAACAAAAAGUGGCCGGCCAAAGACUGGGGAAGCGAAAUAGGCACCUGGGGGCCUCAUCUUUGCUCUACUGCAUGCAGAGUUAUUACGAUGCAGAAAAGGAAGAGUAAAAACACAGGUACUAUUUAUUUCCAUCCUUAUUAAAAAAAAACAAAUGAAUAAACUUUUUAUUCUUGGUUAACAAAUCGGUUACCUGCAGAUGGUUUUAGUGCAAAAUUAACGACGAGUCGUGUGGAAUACAGAAAAUCUAUGCUUAUAUUCAUAAAUUGCUUAGUACAAGCUUGAUAUUCUUUACAAACAAAUUAUCCGCAAGUCGGUGUGUAUGAAAAAAAAGCCAUCAUAUUCGAACAGGUUUCAAAGCAAUAAAGAGAGCUCGCUUAGUGAAUAACCAAUAAGAUUUUCGGUUCACUCCUUAAUACCACGGAGACAGUUCCCGACUGCAAAAGCAUUUUAUCUGUUCGGUCUUUGUAUCAACCUCCCUUUCCACCCUGAUUGGUCCCUCGCUCUUGUAGCCACUCCCUAUAAAAUCUGGGACCAAAAAAG